UCCGUGAUUGUUUGCAUAAAU
rnacentral:piRNA from 1 species